UUAAGUUCAGCGGGUAUUCCUACCUGAUCCGAGGUCAACUCUUGAAAGUUGGGCGUUUUACGGCGUGACCGUCUCCGCGCUCCGGUGCGAGGUUGUGCUACUACGCAGGGGAGGCUGCGGCGAGGUCGCCACUGCAUUUCGGGGGCGGCGCGCGCUGGGCGGCCGGCCCCCAACACCAGGUCCCCCCCCGCGAGGGGGUU
rnacentral:misc_RNA from 1 species